GACGAACGCUGGCGGCGUGCCUAAUACAUGCAAGUCGAGCGGACCUCUUCGGAGGUCAGCGGCGGACGGGUGAGUAACACGUGGGCAACCUGCCUGUAAGACUGGGAUAACACCGGGAAACCGGUGCUAAUACCGGAUAAUCCUUUUCCUCACAUGAGGGGAAGCUGAAAGACGGUUUCGGCUGUCACUUACAGAUGGGCCCGCGGCGCAUUAGCUAGUUGGUGGGGUAACGGCCCACCAAGGCGACGAUGCGUAGCCGCCCUGAGAGGGUGAACGGCCACGCUGGGACUGAGACAGGACCCAGACUCCUACGGGAGGCAGCAGUAGGGAAUCUUCCGCACUGGACGAAGGUCUGACGGAGCAACGCCGCGUGAGCGAUGAAGGCUUUCGGGUCGUAAAACUCUGUUGUUAGGGAAGAACAAGUACAAGAGUAACUGCUUGUACCUUGACGGUACCUAACCAGAAAGCCACGGCUAACUACGUGCCAGCCGCCACCGUAAUAC
rnacentral:rRNA from 1 species